rnacentral:rRNA from 1 species
AUUGAACGCUGGCGGCAGGCUUAACACAUGCAAGUCGAGCGGGGACUUCGGUCCUAGCGGCGAACGGGUGAGGAAUGCUUGGGAAUCUGCCUGGUAGUGGGGGAUAACGUUUCGAAAGGAACGCUAAUACCGCAUACGUCCUACGGGAGAAAGGGGGGGAUCUUCGGACCUCUCGCUAUCAGAUGAGCACAAGUCGGAUUAGCUAGUUGGUGAGGUAAAGGCUCACCAAGGCGACGAUCCGUAGCUGGUCUGAGAGGAUGAUCAGCCACACUGGAACUGAGACACGGUCCAGACUCCUACGGGAGGCAGCAGUGGGGAAUAUUGGACAAUGGGCGAAAGCCUGAUCCAGCCAUGCCGCGUGUGUGAAGGAGGCCUUCGGGUUGUAAAGCACUUUAAGCGAGGAGGAAUGGCUCUGGGUUAAUACCCUUGAGCAGUGACGUUACUCGCAGAAUAAGCACCGGCUAACUCUGUGCCAGCCGCCGCGGUAAGAC